GGAGUGGCGAACGGGUGAGUAACACGUUGGAACCUGUCCCGAAUUCAGGGAUAACAUCGAGAAAUCGGUGUUAAUACCGGAUGUCCCAGUAAUGGGAAAGAUUUUUUGGUUCGGGAGGGGCCUGCGUAGUAUUAGCUUGUUGGUAGUGUAAUAGACUACCAAGGCUAUGAUGUUUAACUGGUUUGAGAGGAUGAUUAGUUAUAAUGGAACUGAGAUAUGGUCCAUACUCCUACGGGAGGCAGCAGUGAGGAAUUUUUCGUAAUGGGCGAAAGCCUGAUGGAGCGACACCACGUGGAGGAUGAUGGCCUUUUGGUUGUAAACUCCUUUUCUGGGGGAAUAAAUGAUGAAGGUACCCCAGGAAUAAGCACCGGUUAACUACGUGUUAGCAGUUGUGGUAAUACGUAGGGUGCAAGCGUUAUCCGGAAUGAUUGGGCGUAAAGCGUGCGUAGGCGGUUUAGAAAGUUUGUGGUUAAAUUUGGUCGUUUAACGAUCAAAUUGUCACAAAAAUUUCUAAACUAGAGAAUAACAGAGGCAACUGGAAUUCUGCAUGUAGGGGUAAAAUCCGUUGAUAUGCAGAGGAAUACCAAAAGUGAAGGUAGGUUGCUGGGUUAUUUUUGACGCUGUUGCACGAAAGCGUGGGGAGUAAACAGGAUUAGAUAUCCUGGUAGUCCACGCUGUAAAUGAUGGAUACUUGAUGUGGGAGGGAUUUGAUUCCCUUCCGUGUUUAAGUUAAUGUGUUAAGUAUCCCGCCUGGGGAGUACGGUCGUAAGAUUAAAACUCAAAGGAAUAGACGGGGACCCAUACAAGCGGUGGAGCAUGUGGUUUAAUUUGAUAAUAAAUGGGGAAUUUUAUCAAGGCUUGAUAUUUCUGGAACCCAUUAGAAAUAGAGGGGUGCCGUAAGGAACCAGAUGAUAGGUGCUGUAUGGUCGUUGUCAGCUCGUGUUUUGAGGUGUUUGGUUAAGUUUGUAAACGAGUGUAAUCUAUGUCCUAUGUUGUAUGUUUCAUAGGAGACUGCCGGCUUUAAGUCGGAGGAAGGUAUGGAUGACGUUAGAUCAGUAUGGCCCUUAUGCCUUGGGUUAUAUACGUGCUAUAAUGGCUAGUAUAAUGGGUAGCGAACCCGUAAGGGGGAGCUAAUUCCAUUAAAGCUAGUCUUAGUUCGGAUUGAGGGCUGAAAUUUGCCCUCAUGAAGUUGGAAUCUCUAGUAAACGCGAAUUAGAUAUGUCGCGUUGAAUAUGUUUUUGGGUCUUGUAUUUAUUGCCCGUCAUAUUAUGAAAGGUGGGGGUGCCUGAAGUCGCCUUAGUCCCUUGGGACGGGUGCCUAAGGUAAAACCACUGAUUGGAUGAAGUUGAAAUAAGG
rnacentral:rRNA from 1 species